rnacentral:lncRNA from 1 species
GUCUGGGAACGGCUGGUUUCGCGGUCAGACGCCGAGGGCCCUCGAAGUCCCUAGCAACGGCUGCGGAGGGAGAUGAUGCAGGAUGGCUUUAAAGGAUACUGCUGGUGGGAAAUUGAGUCAUUGAAGACCCAGGGAACAGCAGAAGGAUGUCAGCAAACUCAUGACUGCUCCGGCUGAUGAAGGUUUGCUGGAGGCAAUCACUCCCUGGCGCCGUUAUCUACUGCGACAUCUAGAGAAUGCAUCUUGCAAGACUACUCUGGACCCCUGGCGCCGUUAUCUACUGCGACAUCUAGAGAAUGCAGUCUUGCAAGACUACUCUGGACCGAGCAGCUGACCCCUUCUUCCACCUCCCCUUCUCACUGUCUCUUUUGCCUAAUAAAUAUGAAGGGCUGUGUAAAGCUCAGGGCCCUUGUCCCCUAGAGGCAAAGCGCCCCCGAUCCCUUCUUCCAAAUAC